UUCACCAUCAGCCACAUCAUCAUUUGAUGAAUAUCUACUGCCAGGCUGUCGUACCGUGUUGGUGUGGAAUCUUGCCGCAUAAUGAAGAGCAGCCUGACAAACGAAGAAAUAACCCAAAGAAAACCUGAGAAUAAAUCUCAGGAAAUUGCAGCAUCAUGUGGUACCUUGAAACACGGAAACUGGAUUUCAAAGGAGUUAACCUAUAUAUAAGGCUGCAAAAAAAUAACAAUAAU